AUUGAACGCUGGCGGCAGGCCUAACACAUGCAAGUCGAGCGGAGCGGCGGACGGGUGAUUAAUGCCUAGGUAUCUGCCUGGUAGUGCGGGAUACCGUCCGCAAACGGGCGCUAAUACCGCAUACUAUCACAUGACCCUCGUUCCGCGUAUCUAGUUGGUGGGGUAAAGGCCUACCAAGGCGACGAUCCGUAACUGGUCUGAGAUGAUGAUCAGUCACACUGGAACUUAGACACGGUCCAGACUCCUACGGGAGGCAGCAGUGGGGAAGAUUGGACAAUGGGCGAAAGCCUGAUCCAGCCAUGCCGCGUGUGUGAAGAAGGUCUUCGGAUUGUAAAGCACUUUAAGUUGGGAGGCGUGACCAAAAGAAUAAGCACCGGCUAACUUCGUGCCAGCAGCCGCGGUAAUAG
rnacentral:rRNA from 1 species